rnacentral:rRNA from 1 species
GGUACCCCAGGAAUAAGCCUCGGCUAACUACGUGCCAGCAGCCGCGGUAAAACGUAGGAGGCGAGCGUUAUCCGGAUUUACUGGGCGUAAAGCGCGUGCAGGCGGUUUUCUAAGUCGGACGUGAAAGCUCCUGGCUCAACUGGGAGAGGUCGUUCGAAACUAGAAAACUUGAGGAUGGUAGAGGAGAGUGGAAUUCCCGGUGUAGUGGUGAAAUGCGUAGAUAUCGGGAGGAACACCAGUGGCGAAGGCGGCUCUCUGGGCCAUUCCUGACGCUCAGACGCGAAAGCUAGGGGAGAGAACGGGAUUAGAAACCCCGGUAUUCCUAGCCGUAAACGAUGUCAACUAGGCGUAGGGGGUAUCCAACCCCUCUGUGCUGCAGCUAACGCGUUAAGUUGACCGCCUGGGGACUACGGCCGCAAGGCUAAAACUCAAAGGAAUUGACGGGGCCCCGCACAAGCAGCGGAGCGUGUGGUUUAAUUCGAGGCUACGCGAAGAACCUUACCAGGGUUUGACAUGCUGGUGGUAGUGAUGUGAAAACUGAACGACCCUUCGGGGAGCCAGCACAGGUGCUGCAUGGCUGUCGUCAGCUCGUGCCGUGAGGUGUUUGGUUAAGUCCAAUAACGAGCGCAACCCUCAUCGUUAGUUACAUGUGUCUAGCGAGACUGCCGGUGAUAAGCCGGAGGAAGGUGGGGAUGACGUCAAGUCAGCAUGGCCUUUAUAUCCUGGGCUACACACACGCUACAAUGGCCGGUACAAUGGGUUGCUAAGUCGCGAGACGGAGCCAAUUCCCCAAAGCCGGUCUCAGUUCGGAUUGUAGGCUGCAACUCGCCUGCAUGAAGUCGGAGUUGCUAGUAACCGCGCGUCAGCCACAGUGCGGUGAAUACGUUCCCGGGGCUUGUACACACCGCCCGUCACGUCAUGGAAGUUGGCAACGCCUGAAGUCGGUGAGCUAACCCUCACGGGAGGCAGCCGCCUAAGGCGGGGUUGGUAACUGGGACGAAGUCGUAACAAGGUAGCCGAAUCUCUGAAGAUCGCGGUUUA